UGGGGAAUAUUGGACAAUGGGCGAAAGCCUGAUCCAGCCAUGCCGCGUGAGUGACGAAGGCCUUAGGGUUGUAAAACUCUUUCGUCGGGGACGAUAAUGACGGUACCCGAAGAAGAAGCUCCGGCUAACUUCGUGCCAGCAGCCGCGGUAAUACGAAGGGAGCUAGCGUUGUUCGGAAUUACUGGGCGUAAAGGGUGCGCAGGCGGCCGCGCAAGUCAGGUGUGAAAUCCCCGGGCUUAACCUGGGAAUUGCGCUUGAAACUAUGCGGCUGGAGUGUGGCAGAGGGGGGUGGAAUUCCACGUGUAGCAGUGAAAUGCGUAGAGAUGUGGAGGAACACCGAUGGCGAAGGCAGCCCCCUGGGCCAACACUGACGCUCAGGCACGAAAGCGUGGGGAGCAAACAGGAUUAGAUACCCUGGUAGUCCCUGAGCGGGCUGGCAAGGCGCAU
rnacentral:rRNA from 1 species